AGGACGAACGCUUGCGGCGUGCCUAAGAAAUGCAAGUCGAGCGGGGGAGCAAUCCCUAGCGGCGAACGGUCGCGUAACACGUAAGCAACCUGCCCGAAAGACCGGGACAACAGCUCGAAAGGGCUGCUAAUACCGGAUGUGUCCACUUUGCCUCAUGGCUUAGUGAGUAAAUCAUUUAUGGCUUUCGGAGGGGCUUGCGGCCUAUCAGCUAGAUGGCGGUGUAACGGACCACCAUGGCGACGACGGGUAGCU
rnacentral:rRNA from 1 species